rnacentral:rRNA from 1 species
CGUCAAAUCAUCAUGCCCCUUAUGUCUUGGGCUACACACGUGCUACAAUGGCUGCGACAGAGGGAAGCGAAGGGGCGACCUGGAGCGAAACCCAAAAAAGCAGUCCCAGUUCGGAUUGUAGUCUGCAACCCGACUACAUGAAGUCGGAAUCGCUAGUAAUCGCGAAUCAGCAUGUCGCGGUGAAUACGUUCCCGGGUCUU